rnacentral:rRNA from 1 species
UACAGAGGGUGCAAGCGUUGUUCGGAAUUAUUGGGCGUAAAGCGCGUGUAGGCGGCUUUGCAAGUCGGGUGUGAAAGCCCUCAGCUUAACUGAGGAAGUGCGCCCGAAACUGCAGAGCUUGAGUACCGAAGAGGAUGGUGGAAUUCCCCAAGUAGAGGUGAAAUUCGUAGAUAUGGGGAGGAACACCGGUGGCGAAGGCGACCAUCUGGACGGAUACUGACGCUGAGACGCGAAAGCG